UACAGAGGGUGCAAGCGUUGUCCGGAUUUAUUGGGUUUAAAGGGUGCGUAGGUGGCCUGGUAAGUCAGUGGUGAAAUACAGCCGCUCAACGGUUGAGGUGCCAUUGAUACUGCCCGGCUUGAAGCAGACAGAGGCUGCCGGAAUGGAUGGUGUAGCGGUGAAAUGCAUAGAUAUCAUCCAGAACACCGAUUGCGAAGGCAGGUGGCUAUGUCUGACUUGACACUGAGGCACGAAAGCAUGGGGAGCAAACAGG
rnacentral:rRNA from 1 species